rnacentral:rRNA from 1 species
UACGUAGGGGGCUAGCGUUGUCCGGAAUCAUUGGGCGUAAAGAGCGCGUAGGCGGCCAGAUAAGUCCGGUGUGAAAGUCAAAGGCUCAACCUUUGAAUGCCGCUGGAAACUGUCUGGCUAGAGUCCGGGAGGGGCGAGUGGAAUUCCUGGUGUAGCGGUGAAAUGCGUAGAUAUCUGGAGGAACACCGGUGGCGAAAGCGGCUCACUGGACCUGAUCUGACACUAAGGUGCGAAAGCUAGGGUAGCAAACGGG